AGGACUACUGAAUGGCUGUCCUUGGUGUUUAUUUUAAACGGACAUCAAUGGGAAUUUGCAAAUAUUUAUGUCUAAUACAAAUUUUGUACUGUACAUAUUUUCAUGUCUUUUUUUCAGAUAGCAUCAUUUAUUACAUGAUAACUGUGGCUUAGAUAUUUUCCUAUAUUAUGUUUUUACCAUAAAUGAGCAAGAACAAUUACCUUUACUAAUUUGCUUUAUGUUUUGUACAAGUUUCAGAUCCUUAAAAUACUGGUUUGAGAAAAUUUUAUGUUGAAUGUACAGAUAAUUAAGGUAAGUGAAUGGGAGUACAGAGAUAUUGGUUUACUGUCUUUGUAGGACUCUCCACAGAUAGUGAAUGAACAUUUUAAUUAAAAAUAAUAUAUAUGAUAUCUUGCAUAGUAUUAUUCUCUACUACAUGUUUAUGUAAUUGCCACUUUUAAGAAAUAAAUUUUAAAUUCUAGGAAAAUCAUAAUUUUCCUUUGACAAGAGACAAAUUAAAUCAAUAAAAAUCUGAAGAGACUUAAAUGUGCUAAUUUUUUUUUAAAUUAAUUUUAUCCUGUGUGAAAAGUUAUUUACAAUACAUUCCAAGAUAUUCUUGAAAAGUUCAAAGGAGAAAAGUUUUUAAAGAUUGAAUGUUUAAUAUAGUUAAUUAAACAUUUGUUUACCUUGAAACAUUUGCCUAGUACAUGUCAUUCCAUGGUAUCUUAUUUCAUGUUUUAAUGAUACUGGUAAUAUUUGUGUUGUCUUGGGAAAGUUGCAUUGCACCUUUAGUACCUGUAAAUAUUUGUGAAUGCUGGUCAUUUUGUACCGUCUUGGGAAAGUUGGUAUUGCACCUUUAGUACCUGUAUUUGUGAAUGCUGGUCAUUUUAUACCGUCUUGGGAAAGUUGGUAUUGCACCUUUAGUACCUGUAUUUGUGAAUGCUGGUCAUUUUAUACCGUCUUGGGAAAGUUGGUAUUGCACCUUUAGUACCUGUUUUUGUGAAUGCUGGUCAUUUUAUACCGUCUUGGGAAAGUUGGUAUUGCACCUUUAGUACCUGUAUUUGUGAAUGCUGGUCAUUUUAUACCGUCUUGGGAAAGUUGGUAUUGCACCUUUAGUACCUGUAUUUGUGAAUGCUGGUCAUUUUAUACCGUCUUGGGAAAGUUGGUAUUGCACCUUUAGUACCUGUAUUUGUGAAUGCUGGUCAUUUUGUACUGUCUUGGGAAAGUUGGUAUUGCACCUUUAGUACCUGUACUUGUGAAUGCUGGUCAAUCUGUCUUUUUUUAUGUGAAUGUUACCAGUUCAUUAUUUAUUGGUGUUAUUAUCUUCUUUGUAUACAUGUAUGUGACCAGAUCUGGCAGAUCAUCAUGUUUUUUUCAAAAAGAUUUUGCUAAAAGCAGGACAACCAUACUCUUUAUGUUUUAUUUAAAAAAUUUAAACCUCCUUUUUGGUUAGACAGAUAUUUGGCUCUUUUUAGGGAUCUUCUGAAAAUGUGGCAAGUUGUAUAAAAUGUGUAUAGUACCAUGUGUUGCAUUUACAAUUUUCUUGUAGUUCAAUAAAUUGUUCAUCAUAUAUUCUAA